UUACGGCUCAGUAACACGUUGAUAAUCUGCCCUAUGGUUCAGGAUAACCUUGGAAAACUGAGGCUAAAACUGGAUGGACAAUUAACACUGGAAUGUGUUUUUGUUGAAAAGCAAUGCCAUAGGAUGAGACAGCGGCUGAUUAGGCAGUUGGCGGGGUAACGGCCCACCAAACCUUAGAUCAGUAGGGGCUUUGAGAGAAGUAGCCUCGAGAAGGACACUGAGAUACUGGUCCUAGCCCCACGGGGUGCAGCAGGCGCGAAAACUUUACAAUGCACGAAAGUGUGAUAAGGGGAUCCCGAGUGCUUAUGUUUUACAUAGGCUUUUGCCAAAGGCAAAUACUUUGGCGAAUAAGUGGUGGGCAAGACCGGUGCCAGCCGCCGCGGUAACACCGGCGCCACAAGUGGCAAUCACUUUUAUUGGGCCUAAAGCGUCCGUAGCUGGUUUUGUAAGUCUGUUGUGAAAUUCUGUCUCUUAAGGGCAGAGAUUGCAAUAGAUACUGCUUAGCUAGAGACCGGUGGACGUAAUGAGUACAUUCGAGGUAGUGGUAAAAUACGUUAAUCUCGAGUGGACUAACAAUUAGCGAAGGCACGUUACGAUGACGGUUCUGACAGUGAGGGAUGAAGGCUAGGGGCGCAAAUUGGAUUAGAUACCCAAGUAGUCCUAGCAGUAAACACUGCGCACUAAACCUUGUGACCUCCUCGAGAGGUUGCAGGGCUGCAGCGAAGGCGAAGAGUGCGCUACCUGGGAAGUAUAGUCGCAAGGCCGAAACUUAAAGGAAUUGGCGGGGGAGCACAA
rnacentral:rRNA from 1 species